GGCCCCUUAGCUCAGUGGUUAGAGCAGGCAACUCAUAAUCGCUUGGUCGCUGGUUCAAGUCCAGCAGGGGCCACCA
rnacentral:tRNA from 1 species